CUGGUCCAAGCAAUUUUCAACGGGGAUCCAGACGAGAUCCGCAUGUUAAUCUACAAAACAGAGGAUGUUAACGCUCUGGAUACCGAGAAGCGGACCCCGCUCCACGUUGCGGCUUUCCUGGGGGACGCAGAGAUCAUCGAGCUUCUCAUCUUGUCAGGAGCCCGAGUCAAUGCCAAGGACAACAUGUGGCUGACCCCCCUCCACCGAGCCGUUGCUUCGAGGAGCGA